rnacentral:lncRNA from 1 species
CUGUAAAAAAUUAUAUUAAAAAUAUAUUUAAUAAAAAACAUUUCCAGGUAAAAGUCUUUAUGUGGUAAAGUAUAAUUAUAAUACAUCUAAGUAAACAACAAAAGGGUCUAAUUAAGUAAUAUAAAGGUCUAUAAAUAAAAGACAAAUAUUAAAAGGUUUAUAUGUAACUAAGUUGGUUAUGUAUGUAACACAAAUAGUUAAAACUAUUCAAAGUUGUUCCUUAAGGACAAAUAAUAAUGUACUGAUAUAUUUAUAUGUUAAAAUGACAAAAACUUCUAAAAAUAUUAAUUAUAUUGUGUCUAUUAAGUUUUAUCCCCUAGAACAAGUAAUCUUAAAAAAAUCAAGGUUUGUACAUUUGUGGUUAAACAGCAACUGUUAUUUUAAAGUAUUGUCCUACAUUACAGAGUCUAGAUUUUUCUUUAAAAGCUAACCUUGGUCAAUAUAAAAAAAAUCAAUAAAAGUGUGAUACAUUACUCUUCUUUACAGAUUAAAUGUGUUCAUAUCUUUCAGGUAUACAAGUCUUUAAGGUAAAAGAUUUAAAGAAACAUUUUAUCAAGCUGGUGUUUGCCAAAGUAAAGUUGUCUGUAAUGGUAAUUUUAAACUUAUAAGGAAAAUAGAUUUUAUUUGAUUUAUUUAUAUUGUUUAGUGUUUUGUAACCAAAUCUUAUGUUACCUUUUACAUUAAAAAUUUAAAGAUAUUUUUAAAAGUAAUGAGAGCAUAAUCUACUUAAAGAUUAAUAUUAUAAAACAUUUUGCCACUUUUCCACAUGUUAAGGACUCUCAGCCUUUCCUUAAUUAAUGUUUCAAAUGUAUGUCAUAUUGUGCUACUAACAUUCAUACAGAGUCAGAAAACAAUAUGUGUAACCUUUAUAAAAUGAUAUCUAAAAAGAGAUAAAGAUCAGCUGUAGAACUAAAACACUUUACCUAGGAUUUGUAAAGAGCCCUGCCUUACCUGAGAGAAGGCUCUGCCUCCCACCUUACAGCAUGUCAGAAUAACUUCAAAGUAGGCCAGAUUUCAGUUGAUUUAAAGUUUUAUUCAAAGAUUAAUUUUAUUAAAAAAAUUACUGUGAUCUCAAAUAGGAAAUAUAAUGUAUAACUCAGCCAAGGUUCAAAAUUAUAUUCAAGCUAAAUAUGUUUUUACUACUGUUAAUUUCACUUUGUAUUUCAUUAUAACUAAAAAAAGGUGACCAUGACACUCGGAGCAACCAAGACACCUUUAUUGUGGCAAUGUCUGAUUAACACAAAGAAAAAGAGAGCGAGAAAGGAAAGUGCAAGAGAGAGAGAGAGAGAGAGAGAGAGAACACAAAGGGUAAGAGAGAGGGAAAGAGAGAGGAGUGAGAGGAAGAAUGAGAGAGAGGGAAAGAGAGAGAAGAAAGAGAGAGCAAGAGAGGAGGACCUGACAAGAGAAAGUUCUUAAAGCCCAAAUCUAAUGGGGUCUCUGGGUCUGCAAGCUGUCUUGUUGGUGUGCAGUGAUUGGAUCAGACAGUAGUUGCUAAGGGUGUCACCUCUGCCUUCAGGCAGACCGGGCAAGGGUCAGAUGUGGGUUUCCGUGAAACCAGACAGGUAAAAGUCAAGUGUUCAACUUUAAGUAGGGUUGAAUGUUCAGCCUUGAGUGGGGUUGAAUGUUCAGACUUCAGGCAAACAAGCAAAACUAACAUUGGUUCAGCCUGCUCUGCAACUAACAAUAACUGAUGCCUGUUAAUGUUUUACAGAGUUAAUACUUCAUGAACACACAACCUAGAUUAAUUUGAGAUAUUAAGCUAUCAUCUGUAGACAGAUAAUAAUUAAAAGAGAUUAAAUUAACUGUAAAGGGGCUAAAGUUAUGGCUCAGCAGUAGAGUGCUUGCCUUACAUAUGUGAGGCACUGGGUUCAAUGUUCAGCAUUACAUGAUUUAAUAAAUAAAAUAAGGAUAUUGUGUUAUGUAAAAAAAAAUAACUGUAAAGUUAUAAACAUUAAAGUUAAAGCCCAGCAUUCUUACUUUAAAACUGGUAAAACUGACUUGCUAGAUGUUUAAGGCCAAACUUAAAUAUUAAGGUUAAAAUAAAGGAGCCAAAGAAACCAAUAUUUGGCUCUUGCCCUUUGAAUCAGCCUGAACCCAGGACAGGGGAAAAGCUUUGCAACUCCAGGCCACAUAACCUCCCGGUAAGGGAGAUUAAUGAGACCUCUGGAGAACAGAAAGCCAAUGAGUGUACAUGCUGCAAAAGAGGAGGGUCAUUGAAAAGGGGAGACAUGCCUGAUGUUUCCAAGGGAAGCCACAUGGUCAGCAAGACCUUGACCCAUCCUAAUGCAGAUGACACUAACAGAGUUAAAAUGCUGCUCACAAGUUCCCCAAGAGUGUCCUCCAAGGAAACUCAGCUGACUCUUACCAAUAGAUAGAAACAAGGUCAGUUUGACUAGCUUGGUCUUAAACACCUAGCAAAAACAGUUAAAACCCACAACACAGCCAUUCCUGGGCAUUAAAAAAAAAAAAAAACAAAAAACAGUUAUUUUAAUUUAACUUAAAAUGUACACUUGUGUUAACACCCCUCAAAAUGAGUAAGACUGGAGGCAACAAAAGAGAAAUUCUUAGGCAAUAAUGCCUGAUAACUAUCAAUUAAAAAACUGCCAGAAGUUUUUUAGUCAGUUUAAGGCCUCAGAUCUUUCUAACCUCCUACACAGGUAGAUGUAAUCAAUGUUUAUUAAUCUAAUUAACCCUAAGUAACAAAGGGAUCUUUACUGAACACAGAGGUCAUGCCAAAAAGGUAUUUUUACAAAAAUCAGACAUUAACUAAUUUAACUAAAUGUUGUGUCUACAUUCCUGCUAAUUCUGACAAUGUUAAAGAUUUAUGUUCCCUAAAAAAAGAAAGUGCCUUAUUAGGCUUUGUUAGGCCUUGUUAUGGGGACAAUUUCUCAGGUCUUCCACCUUCUGGUAAACAAUUAUUAAUUUCUGUCAUUUUCAUGAUAUUCAUGGACAGGUUCCAGAUGCUACAACUGCUAUUUUGUAUUAAUCUUACUUCAGCACUCAUGUCUUUUUGUUUCUCUCAUAGAAGUGCCCACCCCAGGUGAAUUUACAACCUGUUUGUUCUUUCUGAACCAGAUUUUUACCAUGGACUUCUUGACCCACUCAGUUUCUGAAAAGGGACUCCAAACUGCUUGCCCACUGCACAUCGCCCCCUCUCAGUUCGAAGUAGCAAGAACGGUCAUUACCCUUUUCCCUUACAAGAGUAGGAGGUCCCUAACAUUAAAGGAAAAAUUACGGUCAAUAUAGAUGUUCGCCAAUAUGUCUAGCUCAGGAAGAUGUACCUGGGAAACUACUCCCAAGAUCACCCUGGGUGAUCUCCCAGAAAGAGACACUUGUUUCCACAACCCAACUUAUAAGUGGGACAACUCCCUGUUCACCAAAAAUUGUGCUUCCUGGAUCCCACUUUGAACUCCUGACUAAAUCUCCAAACUGUCAAUAACUCUGAACUAUGUAACCUACUAUUUUGAUGGAGUAAAAGGAAAAAGAACACCCGGAGUUAUUAAAAGGCCAGGGCUGGGGCUGGGGAUGUGGCUCAAG